rnacentral:rRNA from 1 species
AAUAGAUACCCCGGUACGUCCACGCCGUAAACGAUGAGUGCUAAGUGUUGGGGGGGUUUCCGCCCCUCAGUGCUGCAGCUAACGCAUUAAGCACUCCGCCUGGGGAGUACGGUCGCAAGACUGAAACUCAAAGGAAUUGACGGGGGGCCCGCACAAGCGGUGGAGCAUGUGGUUUAAUUCGAAGCAACGCGAAGAACCUUACCAGGUCUUGACAUCCCAUUGACCACUAUGGAGACAUAGUUUUCCCUUCGGGGACAACGGUGACAGGUGGUGCAUGGUUGUCGUCAGCUCGUGUCGUGAGAUGUUGGGUUAAGUCCCGCAACGAGCGCAACCCUUGUUCUUAGUUGCCAUCAUUUAGUUGGGCACUCUAAGGAGACUGCCGGUGACAAACCGGGAGGAAGGUGGGGGAUGACGGUCAAAUCAUCAUGCCCCUUAUGACCUGGGGCUACACACGUGCUACAAUGGACGGUACAAACGGUUGCCAACCCGCGAGGGGGAGCUAAUCCGGAAUAAAACCGUUCUCAGUUCGGAUUGUAGGCUGCAACUCGCCUACA